AUCCAUUUUCUGCCACCGAAUACAUUAGCAUGGGAUAAUGGAAUAGGACCCUGUCCUCCUAUUUUCAGUUGGUUUUGGCAGCGCGAGGACUAGGGUAAUGAUUAAUAGGGAUAGUUGGGGGCAUUAAUAUUUAAUUGUCAGAGGUGAAAUUCUUGGAUUUAUGAAAGAUUAACUUCUGCGAAAGCAUCUGCCAAGGAUGUUUUCAUUAAUCAAGAACGAAAGUUAGGGGAUCGAAGACGAUCAGAUACCGUCGUAGUCUUAACCAUAAACGAUGCCGACCAGCGAUUAGGAGACGUUGAAUACAAAACACCACCAUCGGUGCGGUCGUCCUUGGCGUCGGUCUUUCGGGGCCGGCGCGGGGACGGCUUAGCCCGGUGGCACCGGUGAAUGACUCCCCUAG
rnacentral:rRNA from 1 species